ensembl:snRNA U4 U4 spliceosomal RNA
AGCUUUGCGCAGUGGCAGUAUCGUAGCCAAUGAGGUUUAUCCGAGGCGCGAUUAUUGCUAAUUGAAAACUUUUCCCAAAUACUUAAUGGCACCUCUAGACUGGUGAUAUGCCACCGGUAAAGACAUGUAAUUUCUUCUUUCUACAUAGGA